rnacentral:rRNA from 1 species
UUGGAGGGCAAGUCUGGUGCCAGCAGCCGCGGUAAUUCCAGCUCCAAUAGCGUACAUUAAAGUUGUUGCAGUUAAGAAGCUCGUAGUUGAAUUUCGGGGUCAGUAGGCUGGUCGUGCCUCAGGUACGUACUGGUCUUACUGAUUCCUCCUUCCUGACGAACCGUAAUGCCAUUAAUUUGGUGUUGCGGGGAAUCUGGACUGUUACUUUGAAAAAAUUAGAGUGUUUAAAGCAGGCUAACGCUUGAAUACAUUAGCAUGGAAUAAUGAAAUAGGUCGAUCGAUCCUAUUUUGUUGGUUUCUAGGAUUGACGUAAUGAUUAAUAGGGAUAGUUGGGGGCAUUAGUAUUCAAUUGUCAGAGGUGAAAUUCUUGGAUUUAUUGAAGACUAACUACUGCGAAAGCAUUUGCCAAGGAUGUUUUCAUUAAUCAAGAACGAAAGUUAGGGGAUCGAAGACGAUCAGAUACCGUCGUAGUCUUAACCAUAAACUAUGCCGACUAGGGAUCGGAUGAUGUUAAUUUUUUAAUGACUCAUUCGGCGCCUUACGGGAAA